GCUGGCGGCAGGCCUAACACAUGCAAGUCGAACGGCACCUUCGGGUGUAGUGGCGGACGGGUUAGUAACGCGUGGGAACGUGCCCUUCUCUACGGAAUAGCCUCGGGAAACUGGGUUUAAUACCGUAUACGCCCUUCGGGGGAAAGAUUUAUCGGAGAAGGAUCGGCCCGCGUAAGAUUAGAUAGUUGGUGGGGUAAUGGCCUACCAAGUCUACGAUCUUUAGCUGGUUUGAGAGGAUGAUCAGCAACACUGGGACUGAGACACGGCCCAGACUCCUACGGGAGGCAGCAGUGAGGAAUCUUGCGCAAUGGGCGAAAGCCUGACGCAGCCACGCCGCGUGCCGGAUGAAGGCCCUAUGGGUUGUAAACGGCUUUUGAGGGGGAAGAACGACCGGGUUUCGAUCUGGUGUGACGGUACCCCUUGAAUAAGCACCGGCUAACUCCGUGCCAGCAGCCGCGGUAAUACGGAGGGUGCAAGCGUUGCUCGGAAUCACUGGGCGUAAAGCGUACGCAGGCGGUUUAUCAAGUCGGGUGUGAAAUCCCGGAGCUCAACUCCGGAACUGCGCCCGAAACUGGUAGACUUGAAUACGGGAGAGGUAAGCGGAAUUCCUGGUGUAGAGGUGAAAUUCGUAGAUAUCAGGAGGAACACCAGUGGCGAAAGCGGCUUACUGGCCCGAUAUUGACGCUCAUGUACGAAAGCGUGGGUAGCAAACAGGAUUAGAUACCCUGGUAGUCCACGC
rnacentral:rRNA from 1 species